GACGAACGCUGGCGGCGUGCUUAACACAUGCAAGUCGAACGGAAAGGCCCUGCUCUUGUGGGGUGCUCGAGUGGCGAACGGGUGAGUAACACGUGAGUAACCUGCCCUUGUCUUUGGGAUAACUUCAGGAAACUGGGGCUAAUACCGGAUAGGAGCUCCUGCUGCAUGGUGGGCGUUGGAAAGUUUCGGCGGUUGGGGCUGGACUCGCGGCUUAUCAGCUUGUUGGUGGGGUAGUGGCUUACCAAGCCUUUGACGGGUAGCCGGCCUGAGAGGGGGAACGGCGACAAUGGGACUGAGAUACGGCCCAGACUGGUACGGGAGGCAGUAGGCGGGAAUAUUGCACAAUGGGCGCAAGCCUGAUGCAGCAACGCCGCGUGCGGGAUGACGGGCUUCGGGUUGAAAACCGCUUUCGCCUGUGACGAGGCGUGAGUGACGGUAACGGGUAAAGAAGCACCGGCUAACUACGUG
rnacentral:rRNA from 1 species